GAUAUGACACAUUACAGAGUCUCCAACAUGCACUGGUUAUAUGCAGUUAUUACAUGGGGCACAGCCUGCUGGAUUUAUACUUCAGCGCAGCCUACACUGACUCAGCCCCCAUCAAUGUCAGCAUCUCUGGGACAGACACACACACUAACUUGUGUCCUCACCACUGGGUACAACUUUAAUGAUAACUACGCAUACUGGUACCAGCAGCAACCUGGCAAAGCUCCACGGUAUCUGGUGAGAUGUGAUAACAGAGGUCAGACCAAAGGUUCUGAUGUUCCUGAUCGAUUCAAAUGUUCCCUGGAAUCAGCCACUCUCAGCCAUCUGACCAUCUCUGGUGUCCAGGCAGAUGAUGAAUCUGAUUAUUACUGUGCAUUCUGGGAUAGCAGCAGUAAUCAACACACAGUGCUUCAGUUAGACGGGGAAGUGAAACAAAAACCUGCACUGCUGCUCCAGACAGAUCUGUUAACUUGUUGUGCAGUGAAGAUCCCUGUUUCAAUGAAACACCCAAAAUAA